rnacentral:rRNA from 1 species
CCUACGGGGGGCAGCAGUGGGGAAUCUUCCGCAAUGGACGAAAGUCUGACGGAGCAACGCCGCGUGUAUGAUGAAGGUUUUCGGAUUGUAAAGUACUGUCUUUGGGGAAGAACGGUGUACUUGAGAAUAUUGAGUACAAGUGACGGUACCCAAGGAGGAAGCCCCGGCUAACUACGUGCCAGCAGCCGCGGUAAUACGUAGGGGGCAAGCGUUGUCCGGAAUUAUUGGGCGUAAAGGGCGCGUAGGCGGAUAAUUAAGUCCGGUGUGAAAUAUCAGGGCUCAACCCUGAGAGUGCAUCGGAAACUGGUUAUCUUGAGGACAGGAGAGGAAAGUGGAAUUCCACGUGUAGCGGUGAAAUGCGUAGAUAUGUGGAGGAACACCAGUGGCGAAGGCGACUUUCUGGACUGUAACUGACGCUGAGGCGCGAAAGCGUGGGGAGCAAACAGGAUUAGAUACCCCUGUAGUC